AUGCUUCACUGACCAUGUACACCCUUACCUUACCUCCAGCUAUAAAAGCAACUUAAUAAAGACUUUAACAAAUCCUAAGACAUUCUUGUGAGAUCUGCAGCGCCGUUCUGUGUUCUCACAUCCAUUGCCAUAUCUUCCAUGUAAGUUGUGAGAUUAGGUUGUGGAAGCUUUUUCAUGAUGGAAAUGAUUGUCAAUAAUUGAUCAUCCAACAACUGUGAUUUCUUUGAUUAAGGUUUAAUAUUGACUGUAGAAUAAUGGAUCUAUCGAAUUAUCUUGAAGUCUUAAGGAUUGCAUUUUGGUUCAAGUGGCACUCUAUCCAUAUUCUCUCGUGGGUCUUCUCGUUCCCUUGAUGAUGAAAUUUUAAAAGAUAUUAAGAGAGUUAUACCUCACAUGUCUUCUCGUCAUUCAGCGGUAAGGAAAAGCCUUGGUUCUAUGGAAAAGAAAGCGAAAAAGAAGG